rnacentral:rRNA from 1 species
AACGCGAAGAACCUUACCUGGUCUUGACAUCCACAGAACUUUCCAGAGAUGGAUUGGUGCCUUCGGGAACUGUGAGACAGGUGCUGCAUGGCUGUCGUCAGCUCGUGUUGUGAAAUGUUGGGUUAAGUCCCGCAACGAGCGCAACCCUUAUCCUUUGUUGCCAGCGGUCCGGCCGGGAACUCAAAGGAGACUGCCAGUGAUAAACUGGAGGAAGGUGGGGAUGACGUCAAGUCAUCAUGGCCCUUACGAGUAGGGCUACACACGUGCUACAAUGGCAUAUACAAAGAGAAGCGACCUCGCGAGAGCAAGCGGACCUCAUAAAGUAUGUCGUAGUCCGGAUUGGAGUCUGCAACUCGACUCCAUGAAGUCGGAAUCGCUAGUAAUCGUAGAUCAGAAUGCUACGGUGAAUACGUUCCCGGGUCUUGUACACACC